rnacentral:rRNA from 1 species
UACGGAGGGUGCAAGCGUUAUCCGGAUUUACUGGGUUUAAAGGGUGUGUAGGCGGGUAUUUAAGUCAGUGGUGAAAUCUCCGGGCUCAACCUGGAACUGCCAUUGAUACUAUUAUCUUGAAUUCUGUUGAGGUUGGCGGAAUAUGUCAUGUAGCGGUGAAAUGCAUAGAUAUGACAUAGAACUCCGAUUGCGAAGGCAGCUAACUAAGCAGAUAUUGACGCUGAGGCACGAAAGCGUGGGAUCAAACAGG